rnacentral:rRNA from 1 species
UGAACGACUCUCGGCAACGGAUAUCUCGGCUCUUGCAUCGAUGAAGAACGUAGCGAAAUGCGAUACUUGGUGUGAAUUGCAGAAUCCCGUGAACCAUCGAGUCUUUGAACGCAAGUUGCGCCCCGAGACCUUCUGGUCGAGGGCACGUCUGCCUGGGCGUCACGC